rnacentral:rRNA from 1 species
AGCGAACGCUGGCGGCAGGCUUAACACAUGCAAGUCGAACGCAUCCUUCGGGCUGAGUGGCAGACGGGUGGGUAACACGUGGGAACGUACCCUUCGAUCUGGGAUAACUUCGGGAAACUGGAGCUAAUACCGGAUACGCUCUUUCGGGGUAAGGUUUACUGUCGCAGGAUCGGCCCGCGUCUGAUUAGCUAGUUGGUGGGGUAACGGCCUACCAAGGCGUCGUUCAGUAGCUGGUCGGUGAGGAUGCUCUGCCACACUGGGGCUGAGACACGGCCCCGACUCCUACGCGAGGCAGCAGUGGGGAAUAUUAGGCGAUGAGCGCAGGCCUAAUCCAGCCGUGCCGGGUGAGUGGUGAAGGCGUUAGGAUUGUAAAGCUCUUUUGUCCGGGACGAUAAUGACGGUACCGGAAGAAUAAGCCCCGGCUAACUUCGUG